AGCAGCCGCGGUAAUUCCAGCUCCAAUAGCGUAUAUUAAAGUUGUUGCAGUUAAAAAGCUCGUAGUUGAAUUUCGGGAUCAAUAUGUUGGUCGUGCCUUGGUACGUACUGGCAUUAUCGAUUCCUACCUCCUGAAGAACCUCGAUGUCAUUAAUUUGGUGUCUUGGGGAAUCAGGACUGUUACUUUGAAAAAAUUAGAGUGUUUAAAGCAGGCUCGCGCUUGAAUACAUUAGCAUGGAAUAAUGAAAUAGGACGUUUGAUUCUAUUUUGUUGGUUUCUAGGAUCGACGUAAUGAUUAAUAGGGAUAGUUGGGGGCAUUAGUAUUCAAUUGUCAGAGGUGAAAUUCUUGGAUUUAUUGAAGACUAACUACUGCGAAAGCAUUUGCCAAGGAUGUUUUCAUUAAUCAAGAACGAAAGUUAGGGGAUCGAAGACGAUCAGAUACCGUCGUAGUCUUAACCAUAAGCUAUGCCGACUAGGGAUCGGAUGAUGUUAAUUUUUAAUGA
rnacentral:rRNA from 1 species